rnacentral:tRNA from 1 species
UAGUUCAGUGGUUUGAACAUUGGCUUGCUAAACCCAGGGUUGUGAGUUCAAUCCUCAC